UAAAUAAGUAACAUCUUUUGAAAAAGAAUAGUAAGUUUUGCUGUGUGCCACUGCCUGUUCUGAACCCGUGUAAGCUCUGUGCAUCUCUCUUUAGCCCUUUUGACAACCCUAAGAGGAGACUGCUAUUAAUAAGGCCAUUUACAGAUGAGGAAACUAAGGAUAGAGAGGAUUUUUAACUUGCCCAAGGCCCCUUGAACUUCCUCAUGGCAGAGGUUCUCUUUUUGUCAUCUAAUCUACCCCCAAAGAAGUAUUGACGACUCCUGAUGUGAGAUUUCUCCUCUUGCAAGGAGACAGGAAGCUAUUGGAGGUUCUUGUGAAUUAUAUUUUAAGAGGAUCAAGAGGGAGAGACAACAUAAUAAAUUUCAUCCCCGGAGGCAUGGAGCAGGGUCCAAGGCUGAUGCUCCGUCUUCCAGCAAAUCAUAGCCUAACGCUUGCACGCAGUGACUACGUCAUUUUCUUCACUUCAUCUCAUCACGGAGGCAUUUUAUCAUCUCAUGUUGUCACAAGAAGAAGGGUGAGCACCCUACGAUAAUUUUGAGAGAGAGAGAGAAACCACACUCACGUAACUUUUAUUACGGUGUAAUUGGGGGGCGGGGUCUUAGAUCAUAUCGCCAUAGAUAAGGAAAUACUCCUGCAAUAGAAUAGUGAGUGAUUCCUCUUUUUCUAAAUGAAACAAAAAAGGCUAACUUUCAGUUUUCACUGGGGGUAAUGCAGAAGAUCUGGGGUGGGGGGGAAUUCACAUCACAAACCCAGCCCGGUUCCAUGUGAGGGGGUCCUUUUGGAAAUGGAUCCAUCAGUGGUUAGUGGGGACCUUAUGUGAACUGGGUCCCAAUUUGUUCAUUGGAAGCUGGAAGCCAGGCAGCAUCUAGAUUUUGAAGAUCCUUCUGGUGCUUUUAAGGACAUUGAGCGUUUUUAUGGGGAGAUGAGAGGGAGUGGCCACAGAGGUUUAAGUAGUAGAGGCAUUGAUGAAAUUUGGGUUUUAAGAGAUCACUCUGGCGCCAUUCUGAGGCAGAAUAGGGCAGGAACGCUAAACUGAUCAAUACUUCCGGGAUGGUGGCCAGAAAAGGAGUAAAAAUCUCCAGAAAACAGCAUUUAUUUGAAACCAGAGAGCAUCAGUUCAUGUCAAAAGAGGCUCUGUGAGGUCAAGUCAUACCAAGGUGAGUCUGGCAUCCCUCGGGGACAUAAAAAAACAGAAGACCAAAGGAGAUGCCCACUAAUUUUUUUUACUUAUGCUGAACUUCUCUACCUAAAGGGAUUGUUUCCCCUGC